AUGAACGCGCGACUGCGCAGCAGCAACAGUUUUGAGGGGAAAACCUGUAGAUUGUUAUUGCUAGUUUUUGAUUAGUUUCUACUUAAAGUAUUUUUGAUGAGUUAUUUUAUAGUUUGUACGUGCCUGUGAGAGUAGACUGUAAACUUCGGAUGAUUUGGAUCGACAUUAUUAUCUUUUGGGAGAGUUUUUUUUCAAUUAAAAUCCUGCAGUUGAUCACCUGUACAGACUCCAGAGUGUGUGUACUGAAGCAGAGUAAACUCAGCAUCAGACUGUGGCCUCAGUUGGACCGACGAGCCUCUGGUGCCAACGCCUUUCCCCCCUCUCUCUCUCUCUCUCUCUCUCUCUCCCUCUCUCUCCCUCUCUCUCUCUCUCUCUCUCUCUCCGCUACUGCUGUGCUGGGACACUUCAGUUCGCACUGGGCUCGUUUGACGGCGUUUACCUUCUUCAACUCAUGAGCUGCUGAAACCACAAUCCGAAACUAAAGAAGUCGCGUGAGAGGGAAAAAUGGGCUGCACGAUCAGCGCCGAGGACAAAGCCGCGGUGGAGAGGAGUAAAAUGAUUGACAAAAACCUGCGGGACGACCGGGAGAAGUCCUCCAGAGAAGUGAAACUGCUUCUGCUUGGUGCUGGGGAAUCUGGGAAAAGCACAAUAGUAAAGCAGAUGAAAAUCAUUCAUGAAGAUGGCUACUCAGAAGAGGAGUGCAAGCAGUACAAAGUGGUGGUGUACAGCAACAGCAUCCAGUCCAUUAUGGCCAUCAUCAGGGCGAUGGGCCGGUUAAAGAUAGAUUUUGGGGAUGCUGCGCGCGCGGACGAUGCCCGCCAGCUGUUUGUCCUGGCGAGCUCGGCGGAGGAAGGGGUGUUAUCGGCGGAGCUGACUGGUGUGAUUCAGAGGCUUUGGAGCGAUGCUGGAGUUCAGGCGUGCUUCGAUCGAUCACGAGAGUAUCAGCUCAACGACUCCGCUGCUUAUUACCUGAAUGACUUGGACAGGAUCUGUCAGCCGAGCUACGUGCCGACUCAGCAGGAUGUGCUACGUACACGUGUGAAGACCACUGGCAUCGUGGAAACUCACUUCACCUUCAAAGAUCUCUACUUCAAGAUGUUCGAUGUCGGGGGUCAGCGCUCGGAGAGGAAGAAGUGGAUCCAUUGUUUUGAGGGAGUCACAUCUAUCAUUUUCUGCGUGGCGCUCAGUGACUAUGACCUUGUGUUGGCUGAGGAUGAGGAGAUGAACCGGAUGCAUGAGAGCAUGAAGCUCUUCGACUCCAUCUGCAACAACAAGUGGUUCACGCUCACCUCCAUCAUCCUCUUCCUCAACAAGAAGGACUUGUUUGAAGAGAAGAUAGGCAGGAGUCCGCUUACUAUCUGCUACCCACAAUACCCCGGUGGGAACUCAUACGAUGAGACUGCAGCUUAUAUCCAGUACCAGUUUGAAGACUUAAACAAGAGGAAGGACACCAAGGAGAUCUACACCCACUUCACUUGUGCCACAGACACCAAGAAUGUGCAGUUUGUGUUCGACGCCGUCACUGACGUCAUCAUCAAGAUCAACCUGAGGGAGAUCGGGCUCUACUAAAGCUUCAGGCCAUGCAGGAGCAGACCAAGGACUUCUGGACUGGUAUGUCUUGUCUGCAGAGGGCAAAUUGGAAAGUAGGUGUUACUUAAGGACUAAGCUGAUGGCCGCGCUGCAAGCAGGACCUAAAUUCCACAAUUGGGGCACUUGAUACUACGAUUAUUUUUGUCUUAAUAGGUAUUGUGAUGCAGGGCAUACUGGGAGAAAGUGAUGAGUUGGGAAACAAUCACUGUGAGAGCUGUGGAGUCCUGUCAUAUUUAAGAGCUCUGCAUCAGUCGAGGGGCUGGCAGAGAUUGGUGUUAAUGAUAAAUACGACUCACAACACAGUAGCGUUAGUCAAAAGGAAGCGACGAGGAUCGGAUGAGCAACUACUUCAUCUUCAUACCUUCAAACCAGCAGCGUCUGGUGGAUGUAAUAUUGGAGAUGGUGGUGUGCUACCAGCAGUCAAGGACCGGGACUUGGCAUGGAAGCGAUGGCGUGAACACAACCAACACGAUCUUCUGUGCUCCAACGGGACACUUCUCAGUUAAUGCCAAUACGUGAGGGGUCAAGGCAGAGCAGACACUUUUAAGACCGCCGGUGGGAUGUACGUGCAUUAAGCUUGUUGUUCCAGGAUUGGAGCAGCUGAUCUCCUGUGGUCAUGAUGGGUGGAGGUCAGUGGGCCUGGUCUUAUGGGCUGUUACUGCCCCGCGUGUUAGAGGACUUACAUUGAGAUACUCUAUUGCUGAUGUAUAUUUUCCCCAGAAAAUCACUUCAAAAACCAGCACAAAAUGUUGUUUGGUUUAAUUUAUUACCUUUAAUGUCCCAUGCUUUUUAGUGAAGCGUUUUAAUUUAUCUUUUACUUUACAUACUUUUGACAUUGCAUUUUAGAGGUGUGAUCAAAGCAUAAAUCAGUUGUGGUUGCUGAAUGUUUAAAACCUUCGUAUUUGAGAAAGGAGCAUCGCAGUUCAGUAGAGAUUACAUGACUGUCCCGCUACGACUGAAGGGAAAGUUCUCUUUAAAACCCAUUUAAUGUAGCCUCUAAUGAGUGCUGCAGGGAUGAGGUAUUUAUGACAGGCAACCCCAAAGGUUAGCAUAAUGUGUUCCCUCAACAAAAAGACAAUGCUAUUUUUCUAUUGGAUUUGGGAUUUUUGCAGAAAAUUGGAUUUUGCAAACAAAAGACAUCUGCAGUAGAUUCUUGUCUGUGUGUGGAUAUUCUUUAACACACUGCUGCUUAAACUGGCAAAUUAAUCAGGAACAUGCAAUUUAAUAUUUACAUUUAGUCUUUAAGUCUUCAACAUUUGGAGAUAAAAACUAUGUUUUGAGACUACAAGAAUGUUGAAAUAAAAAUAUAUAUUCUUGGUUGAAUUGAUGUCUUCAGUCUUCUAUGUUUUUGUGUUUAAUGUGUCGUGGUGAUUAUGGCUAAAAUGAUCAACAUCAGCAGUAGGGCAGUGUUUUUAAUCACGCUUCAGCUGUUUGACAUCAGCUGUUUGACGUCAUAAAGCUUUUUAACCGUGGCCAAAAGCAUAAUGUUUUUGGUUUGUCUGUCCAUCUGUACGUCCGUCAGACCCAUUCUCGUAAACACCAUCUGUGCAAUCAAAUACCCAUACUACCACACUACGCCAGAAAAAUAUUUAGUGUGUCCCGAUACAUAGCAUUUAAAAGGCAGAAUGCUAAAAAUAGCCGGAUGUCCUACUGCAUCCGGUCACAUUUUGCAGCAUGUAAGCAGCAUGCGUUCCUGGCCAUUCUGAUCCACAACCCUCUACGCAGCUGAUAUGUGAGCAAGAGGGUCAAAGUUCAAGCUGCACUGUUAUGCCUAAGUCGUAUGUCCCAAUUGAAUGCAUACUGCAUGCAACAGUACUCACUUUGUAAAGGCAGGUGCAGUAUGAAAUGAAAGCAAAAACAAUAUGUGUGUGUUUAUUUCAGGAACACUUUGAGGGAAUUACUCAAAUGGUACAAGCGACCACCUGGACUCAAGGUUGAACUGAUUUAAAAUGUGGUGGUCAAAGGUCACUGUGACCUCACAGCAGUUAUUCUAGUUUAUCAAGUGCAAUCUAAUGAACUAGGAGGAAUUACUGUAUUAAAAAAAGCCUUUUUGUAAACUUUGCACAUAUUUUUCCCACGUGUUUCUAACUUUCUCUGAACGUUUAUUGUAGGAGGAGCAGGUUUAAGAGAAGUGGGAUCAGACCGUCCGAGUACCAGUUCGGUGACGUCAGGGUCAAACAGGCUCAGCGGGAAGCUAAAGGAUUGACAGACUGGGAUCUCUGAGGAAGAAAACGUGUGACAUGUUAAUGGAGGUGAAAACAGAAACAAUGAAGCCAUUGAGUUUCACAGUGGCUUCAAAAGAUCAUCUUUGUUUUCUGUUUUUAAUGCUACUUCAUAAUUCCUCGGCAGACUUCACUACAGGAGAUCCCGUCCCAUUGAUGAGCUCAUGUGGUUUUACUCUACAUGCUUUUGGACAAGUCUGCAAAAUAGAUGAGUGUCCUCCCUCUGAUGACGCAAAGGGGAAGCUUGAAGACCUCAUACUGAAGCAAGAUGUUGUGAUACUCGCUGUUAAUCCUCUUACACAAAAUAUAGCUAUACCAUUAACUCUGUAGAAUUAAAAAUGAUGAGACAAACUUUUUUCUUUUUUUUCUUCUCUAUAGUCUCCCAUAUAUAUACUGUAUGUAUAUGCAUGGAUAUAUAUUUAUCAACCCGCAUCAUUUUCAAACAGUAAAAGAGACAAUUUUGAGUAUUCUUAGUAAUAUUUUUUUUUCAUUUGGACCUAUUCACGCUCACUGACCAUGAUCUUCCUUUUUACCAACAUUAGACUGGUACAACAGCUUGUAUCAAUAUUGUCCUUUUUGUGAGACAUCUUGUAUCAUGCGAUCAGCUGAUGAUGAGUUAGUUUCCCUGGAGCCCCAGUGUGCUACGCAUCUGAUUUUCAGAAAGAUAAAUACCCGUCAAUCUUUGAGUAACUCACAAGGUCGUUCAACAACAAAUGUGAAAGUAUUUCCAGAAUCUUUCAAACUGUUUUGACCAUCUGGAUAAAAACAUAUUCUGUCAGCUGCACAUUAA